UACGCAAACAAAACCAUCACAUAUUGCAAUAGAUUCAAGAUAUCUCUGAAAUACGCAAACAAAACCAUCACAUAUUGCAAUAGAUUCAAGCCAAGCACAAUCUUACAACAGACUAUAAGCAACAGAACAGAUACUCCUUCAGCCCCGUCUGACAUGCAAGCGUUUGCUAAGAGGAUGGUGCGGACACUUACCCGGAUAGAGAAACACUGUAUGCCAAAUGUGCAGGUCGUGGACUUCGACCAAAUCCAGGGCCUGCUAGCUGAGGCGAUGCUGAGGGUAGACGGGCUUAGGGUCCCCUUCAGACGGAAGGGAGAAGAGGUAAAUGACGUUAAACAGAGGGUCGUUCAAGCUCUCAACUCUACCGAAUACAGCAAAAUACAAUGUGAUGUUGAAAUUAAAGUAGUAGAUUUGAAACAGGAGGAGUAGGUAAAUAACUUAAAGGCUGCUAAUGACGCCGCUAACGAGCGGGUGGCCAAGCUUGAGGAGGAUCUGAAGAUUGCCCAGUCGAAUCUCAAGGCCUUGGAGGGAGCUGACACGGAGAAUGCCCAGCUGAGAGCAGACGUCAGCCGCCUGGGUGUCGAGCUCGUCCAAGAAAGGAAUAAACACAAGGACGAGAUUGCCCAAGAGCAGAAGCGGCUGGUUGCAGAGAACGAACGGGAUACUGAGGCCCGGUUGCGCAAUACAUGGGGUUUGCUUCAUCCUAAGGUUGAGUUUGAUAUGCUUAAGCUUCGAUAUGAUUACGCCACUGAGGUGUAUGACGCACAACAGCUCAACGAAUAGGCCACGCCUCCCUUCAAGCCAUGGGCCUUUGAACAAGGCUAUGAGGUUUCUGAUGGCGAGGAAGAGCCAGCUGCCAACCCGUAUGAUCAGGUCCAGGCUAAUGAAGCUCAAGCUGAUCAAGUCCAGGAUGGUCAAGUGCUGGAUGCUCAAAACAAAACAAGCCUCCUAGCAGGUUAGAAGUAGCCGGAGCAGACCCAACAACCUUGAUUCAAAUUCCUCCUUUUUUUUUCAGCGGUAGUAUGCCAAUUAAUUUUUCCAGCCUGUGAGCCAAGUAGUUCUGUGUUUUUACCGACUAAGGAGUCGGGUAACAAUUUUACUUUCUUUUCUCCCAAAUGUAUAUCCGGUUAACAAUAUUAUCCGGUUCUAACCGGUUUUGAAUAAAAUUUGCCGACUGAGUCGACUUGAUAAAUUUGUUUUUUUUUUUGUUUCAGUUUUUGCAUUUAAAUUAUGCAAUUUUUAUUUUUGAAUUGUUGCCUAACUUUUUAGAGCAUGCGGCAAUUAGAAUAGUAUAUCGGCUACUUUUGCCCUUGGCGGCUGUGUGGUUGGUUUCAGUACUUCCUUGAUUGAUUGACUUUGGAAUGUUUAAUACUUUAAAGAAUAUGGAAUGUUCCUAAGUCAAUCAAUCAUAGUAGUUAUUUCCCCAAACCAAGUACACAACCGUUCAUAGCAGUCGUUUUACCCAAUUGGGGAGUAGGCUCAAUCAAAGCCUUAUUUCCCCUUUUGGGGUAUUCGUAUUUUAUAACUCUUUGUGAGCCAGGAGGGAGCUUGCCGCCUGACAGUUAAUGAAACAAGGAACAUAUUAUCCGUCUGUCUGAUGGGCCCAGACAUAUUAAAGGCCGUAUGGGGUGCCUGCAAUCCAUUGCACCUGGUUCGUCUGCACCAUUGGGGGUGACUGGUACAAUUUUGUUGAACUAUUUAACAAAGAACUUUAGUAAUUUACCAGCUGAUGUCACUUGACAUCCGGUUUUAAGCUUAGUCAUUCUUUUAGACUAUUUUGGUCAGACAGCUAUAAGUUGAUCAAUUUGGUCGUUCAAUCUUUUCCGUCUGCAUAUGCUAGAGUAGAGAAAAUGAUAGAAUGCCCUCUGCGAUGAUAACACCUGGAGGGGCGUCGCUGGACGCCAUACACAAAUAGGAGUAGACAAAUUUAUAAAUAAGUUUGCAUCCGGCCAUUGGCCUCGAUUUAAAUAUCAUUUUAACCCUAAGUUUUUAACUUAGCUUGCAUUAGGCCUUUGGCCUCUGAAAUUAAAUAUCAUUUUAGCCGCUAAGUUUUUAACUUAGCUUAGUUUUAUUCAUUGUAGGGGCCAUUUAUGCAUUGCACAAAUGAUGGUCCACCAUUCCGCAUGUAUACAUGUAUGUAAAGGAAGUAAUUAAAGCAAUUUGAAAACAAAAAACAACUUUUUCAUUGAUAGGCUUAUUAUUUACAAAAAUUUACAAGUCUUACAGUAAUACUUUUUCAAGUUAUCUACAUUCCAAGUCCUAGGCAGUCGCCUACCAUCUAGAGCUUCCAGACGGUAGGUGCGUCACUUCUUCGUAGAUCCGAUACGGGCCUUCCUAAUUAGGAGUUAGCUUUCCUUGCUCAUUGGUCCUACUGGUUGCCUCCAUCUUUCGCAACACAAAGUCCCCAACUUUUAAGGGUUGUUUCUGCACUCUCUUGUUGUAGGCACGAGUCAUUCUCAGACGGUAAAUCUCAUGACGCAAGGCGACAUUUCCCCUGCGCUCCGGGAGUGAGUCCAAUGCUAGGCGCAUGGCCUCCCAGUUUUCCUCUUCAUCGUAUAGCAUGACUCAUAGAGUCGACUCAUAAUGCUCGAUGAGCAAGACGACUUCAGCACCGUAA